GAUGAAGAACGUAGCGAAAUGCGAUAAGUAAUGUGAAUUGCAGAAUUCCGUGAAUCAUCGAAUCUUUGAACGCAUAUUGCGCCCUCUGGCAUUCCGGAGGGCAUGCCUGUCCGAGCGUCAUUUCAACCCCUUCAAGCCCGGCUUGUGUGUUGAGCGGCGGUCCCCCUUACGGGUAUCAACCCCCGGGGGGCCGGCUCUAAAUUCAGUGGCAGCGCCGCUAUUCAAGGGUGACUGAGCACAUGGGAAAGAAUAGGAGCUUCUUGUUCCUGCUGUCUUUGUGCUUGCCUAAAAAAGUCCCCGGUGGCCGCUAGCCCAGUACCGAAUCUUUCGGUAUAUCUUUUAACUAGGUUGACCUCGGAUCAGGUAGGGAUACCCGCUGAACUUAAGCAUAUCAAUAAGCGGAGGA
rnacentral:misc_RNA from 1 species